rnacentral:rRNA from 1 species
CAGCAGCCGCGGUAAUACGUAGGGUGCAAGCGUUAAUCGGAAUUACUGGGCGUAAAGCGUGCGCAGGCGGUUUGUUAAGACAGAUGUGAAAUCCCCGGGCUCAACCUGGGAACUGCAUUUGUGACUGGCAGGCUAGAGUAUGGCAGAGGGGGGUGGAAUUCCGCGUGUAGCAGUGAAAUGCGUAGAUAUGCGGAGGAACACCGAUGGCGAAGGCAGCCCCCUGGGCCAAUACUGACGCUCAUGCACGAAAGCGUGGGGAGCAAACAGGAUUAGAUACCCCAGUAGUCCCUGUCUCUUAUAA